rnacentral:rRNA from 1 species
AGAGUUUGAUCCUGGCUCAGGAUGAACGCUAGCUACAGGCUUAACACAUGCAAGUCGCGGGGCAGCAUGGGGGUUGCUUGCAAUCCCUGAUGGCGACCGGCGCACGGGUGAGUAACGCGUAUCCAACCUGCCCUUCACCACGGGAUAACCCGGCGAAAGUCGGACUAAUACCGUAUGUUGUCCAUUGACGGCAUCCGAUUUGGACGAAAGGCUUAGCGGUGAGGGAUGGGGAUGCGUCCGAUUAGCUUGACGGCGGGGUAACGGCCCACCGUGGCGACGAUCGGUAGGGGUUCUGAGAGGAAGGUCCCCCACACUGGAACUGAGACACGGUCCAGACUCCUACGGGAGGCAGCAGUGAGGAAUAUUGGUCAAUGGGCGUAAGCCUGAACCAGCCAAGUAGCGUGCAGGAUGACGGCCCUAUGGGUUGUAAACUGCUUUUAUGCGGGGAUAAAGUGAGGGACGUGUCCCUCAUUGCAGGUACCGCAUGAAUAAGGACCGGCUAAUUCCGUGCCAGCAGCCGCGGUAAUACGGAAGGUCCGGGCGUUAUCCGGAUUUAUUGGGUUUAAAGGGAGCGUAGGCCGCCCCUUAAGCGUGUUGUGAAAUGCGGGUGCUCAACAUCCGACUUGCAGCGCGAACUGGGGGGCUUGAGUGCGCCGAAAGUAGGCGGAAUUCGUGGUGUAGCGGUGAAAUGCUUAGAUAUCACGAAGAACUCCGAUUGCGAAGGCAGCUUACCGUAACGUUACUGACGCUUAAGCACGAAGGUGCGGGUAUCGAACAGGAUUAGAUACCCUGGUAGUCCGCACAGUAAACGAUGGAUGCCCGCUGUUGGUACCUGGUAUCAGCGGCUAAGCGAAAGCAUUAAGCAUCCCACCUGGGGAGUACGCCGGCAACGGUGAAACUCAAAGGAAUUGACGGGGGCCCG